UAUAAAUCUGGAGACACCUAUGAUUUUUGAUAGAAAAUUACUAAUUUUGUUGUAAGAGACUUUGUGCCAAACAUCUCAAGAUAGAGACUGAGUCGACGACAGCACAAUCUGUAACAUCUUGGCCAGGCAACGUUUAGCACAGUAAUAACUUGCAUUUCUAAUAUAAAUUAUUGUUACGACAUGGGAAAUUGUGCAAUGAAUUUAUUUGAGAUAUUUUGAGUCGACAUAUCGAUCCUACCUAUCAUUGGGUCAAAUACUGUCUGAUGUGUUUCACACCGAUUAUUAGACCGUUCUUGACACACUGAUUGUGACUACAGUAACUCCGUUUAUAGGGCUCACGGCAGGUGUGACCGGUCGACAGGAGAAGCUUACUUCUGCUAGGUACCCGAUCCCACCUCUCAUGUGUCCAGGGGUCCGUGUUUGCCCAACUAUAUAUUUUGUAUUGCUUAUGGGAGCUACACGAUUGAUCACUGUUCGCUAUAGUCACUUUUCAUGAAUGAAAAUGAACAUUGUUAAUAGAUAAAAGGCCGUCGAUAUAUUAAAUGCUACAUCAAGAUUUUUUUUCUUAGAAGCAUUUGAACAAAUUCUGUUUCAUAUGAAUAGAAAAACAGGUCAUGAAACAUAGGAGAACAAUCUGUGCCCAUGAGAAUUCAAACAUACUGUUAGAAGACCUUAUUACCAAAGACUACAUAAAUAUUAUGAAUUGGGAAAUGUGUCAUCUUUUUUAUAUCAGCUUCAAAGUACUUGUGGGUAGAACAAGCCUAGUCUUUACCAAAACAAAAGUGAAGGUAACGAAAAGUCAUAAAUCCCAGAUAUCCAACGAAGAAUUCAAAAUUAACAGUAGGGCAAACACGAAUUCAUGGACCAGAGCAGAGAUCGGGGCGAAGAUUAAGUAUAUCCUAUUGACAUGUCACAUCCGCCGUUACAUGUAGCCCUAUAUCUUGCUCGGGUAAACGGAUGAACCCGUAGGUAAAUCUGUAUCUAACAAACGAUCUAACAGAUGGCAUUGUCUUUGAAAUAUUUUCCUAUAUGUACCGUUCCGUCUUUCAAAACUUGUUUGAUAGAUCAUUAUUCUAUUCAUAGGUAUGCUCUCAAGAAAUUGUAAAUAUUUUGAUUUUACUAUCUUUACAAUCGUGAAAGAAGAUUUUUCAAAGAAUAUCCAAAAUCUCGAAACACAGAUAAAACGACUUACAAAUUGUCCUCGGGGCUGGAACAAACAUGGCAGAUCAUGUUAUAAGUUAAACACACAAAAAUCAACAUGGAAAACUGCUGAUCAAUAGUGCCGACGUUUGUCAGGAAAACUAGCUGAAAUUGGCACAAAGGAUGAAAACGACUUUAUAAAAAAUCUCAUUAACAAUAACCCAGGAACAGCACGGGCCUGGAUAGGUGGGGCAGACACGGCAGAGGAAGGUACAUGGAUCUGGACUUUUUUCAGAAAUACCGCUGAGCUUUAAGAACUGGAACAAGGGCGAACCCAAUGACAGAAAAGGAAAGGAAGACUGUUUGGAAAUAAUGGGAAUACUCAACGGACUCUGGAAUGACUUAUCAUGCUCAAAUUCAUCAGUGUCUGUUUGUGAAAAAGACUUGUAGUAUGUGUUUGUGUGUUUAUGUGUGUAUAUGUGAGUAUGUGUGCGUGUUCUAUAGUGUAACUAACAACGAAAGGGAAUCGUUUUUGCCUUCCAUAGAUUGUACGCAUGGUUAUUUUGUCUGUAAGUUAAUCAAAAGUACUGUCCCCUAAAAUCAUCUUCGUUUAUCAUAACUUGUCAAAUGAGAUGGUCAAAUUUUAAUAUAGAGUUGUUACACAUGUAUAUAUUUUUAAACAAUGCAUCUGCGUUAUUAUAACACUGUACUGUACUGCUAAUUUCUCGAUCAAUACCUGCAGUUGUUUACACUUAUAAAACUCUUUUUCAAGUGAAUUGAAAGCUUUACUUCCUGGUCCAAAGUGGAGUCAUGGUUUGAAUUUAUAUAGGAAACAUCUUCAUGCAGGGUAACACAAGACUGAAAUUUCUUAAAUUACUGUGCAAGCAUUCCCACAAAUUUGUUUAAUUCAUGACCUACGUUGAUCAAAUAAAUCUUCUUUUUCUCUAGCUAAUUCAACAUAUGUUUGAUUGUCAAAUUUUCUCUAUUUUCUGAAUUUUUUGUCUGUACGCUUCAGGUAAUAAUUCAUAAGCUUUUAAGAUCACUGCCUUGUAAUAAUCUGAACUCUCAGUUAUGGCCAGCGUCCAGUAAACAUCGGCUGCUUUGCCAGUCAAAACACUUAGUGACGAAGUGGACCAAGCAUAUCACGAUCAUUUCAAGUUCUCCGCAGCUUUCUCAAAAUUCCAGAAAUAUAUGUACACAGAUUAUUUCUAAUUACGGAACUAACCUGAUAUUUUAGCAGCAUCGAAUUCAUUUCUGACAGGUAAGAUUGUCGAUCUGUGCUGUAAUUUUAAUUUCUCUAAUUCAAAUUUCCUUUCUAUUUCUCUUUCAGCUAUUUCACUUUCUUUUUCUUUCUCCGGUUUCAUUGGGUUUUUUCAUUUCUUUCUCUCUUUCCAUUUUCUUCCUUUUCAUUUACUCGCUCAGCAUUAACUUGUUCAUUUUCCUGUCUUUCAUUUUUAGUUGCGUUUUAUCAAUCUGCAUUAUCUCAUUUUCUCUUUGUAAUAUGAAUUUUUCUAGUUGUAAUUGAAAUUUGAAUUCCGUCAUUUUCGCUUGUUUAAUCUUAACUGUUUGUUUUGGAAAAUCAUAUCAUUCAAAAAUAUUUUCUACAAGUAUUUUAGCGACCGUUAUUUUAACAUCUUGUUUAUGCAUUGCAGAUUUAAUCUCUAACCCGAAGUGCACAGCUAAACUAAUUCAACGCAUUUUUUAAGGUAUCGAGUACAUGAACAUUCGGCGAGUCAAGAAGAUAUGUGACGGAAAACAUGGUCAUUGCUGCUGUCUGUGAAAUUCAAUAAUUCAGAAAAAAUGAAAUACAAAUCUUGAAAAAUGCAA